GAAUUUGAUUAACGGUAUAAUGAUUUGGGAACUUUAAAAGAUAUAAGUAUUGCGCAUUUACACAGACAUCACCCAAUUUUCUAUGAGAAAUCUCCGAUUACAUUGGCAACAGCGUUGCAGCCGUACUUGUCAAAUCUACUGGUUGACUGGGGAAUGAAUACAACUGGCGGUUUAUUUACUGUAAGAACAACUUCUGAUAAAGAUGGGAAUACGGUAUUCCUACCCUUUGACAAAUAUUUCCUGGUGGACAGAUACAUCUGUAGGCUGUUCCUCCAUUGGUUAAUUCCU